CGGGCACUCCGGCUUCCUCCCACAGUCCAAAGACAUGCAGAUUGGGGACUAGGUUAAUUGAUAACUCUAAAUUGUCCAUAGGUGUGAAUGUGAGCAUGAAUGGUUGUUUGUCUCUAUGUGUCAGCCCUGCGAUAGUCUGGCGACCUGUCCAGGGUGUACCCUGCCUCUCGCCCGAUGUCAGCUGGGAUAGGCUCCAGCCCCCCCGCGACCCUCAAGAGGAUGAAGCGGUUAGAAGAUGAAUGAAUGAAUGAAUUUCUUA